rnacentral:rRNA from 1 species
GACUCUCGGCAACGGAUAUCUCGGCUCUCGCAUCGAUGAAGAACGUAGCGAAAUGCGAUACUUGGUGUGAAUUGCAGAAUCCCGUGAACCAUCGAGUCUUYGAAYGCAAGUUGCGCCCGAAGCCGUCAGGCCGAGGGCACGCCUGCCUGGGUGUCACGC